rnacentral:lncRNA from 1 species
GCCCAAGUACUCUCAAAUCCAUAUCUCCACGCCUUUGAAUGUUGUUGGUACGUAGACUGUUCUUUUAAAUUUUGUAUAUUUAUCUUGGGCCUUAAUUAACCUGAACUUGAAGUUCCCCGGGUUCAAUUUCAAGCUCAUGUUAAUUAGGUAUUAUUAGACAAGGCCUUAUGUUAAACUUUGUCUUUUUAAAAUUAUGCUGAUUUGAGUUUUUGUGUAAUAUGUAGUGACUGUUUUGCAUUUGUUCUGUUUUGCGAGGACUAUUGCUAUUGACUACCGGAUUCAACUUCAAGCUCGAGUUAUUUAGGUACUUUUUGUUAGUACUUUAUGUUGUUUUUUAUUUAUAGCAUGAUUUUAAUGUUGAGUAUACGGUAGUGACUGCUUUGCAUUUUUUUUGUUUUGCGAGGGUAGACUUUUGACUAUCGAGUUUAAUUUCAAGCUCAAAGUUAUAGGGUAUUGUAGUUAUGGACUAUGUUGUACUUUUCUUUUUUCCCCCAGAUUACGCUAAUUUGAAUUUUUGGUUAAUGAGUUGUGACUAAUUUUGCCAUUAUUUUGUUUAGUGAAGGACUAUUGCUAUUGAAUAUCGGACUCAAAUGGGUGUUACCGUGCUAAUAGCGAUGCCAGGCCCAAGUACGCUCAAAUCCCUAUCUCCGCCGCCUUUGAAUGUGUGGUACGUAUGUGUGGCUGUAAAUUUGAAUUUAUCUUGGGCCUUAAUUAACCAUGAAAUUGAGUUCACCGGGUUCAAUUUCAGCUCACGUUAUUAGGUAGUAUUAGACACGGCUUAUGUUGUACUUUGUCUUCUUAAAAUCAUGCUGCAUUUGAGUUUUUGUGUAAUAUGUAGUGGAAUGUUUUGAAUUGUUCUGUUUUGCGAGGACUAUUGCUAUUGACUACCGGAUUCAACUUCAGGCUCGAGUAUUUAGGUACUUUUUGUAGUACUUUAUGUUGUUUUUUAUUUAUAGCAUGAUUUCAAUGUUGAGAACGCGUCACUGACUGCUUUGACAUUUUUUUGUUUUGCGCGGUAUAAUACUGUUGACUAUCGGUUUAAUUUCAGCUCAAGUAUUAGGGUAUAGUAGUUUUAUGGCCGUAUGGUUGUACUUUGUCGUUUUAAAUUAUGCUAAUUUGAAUUUAUUUUGUUUUGUGAGGACUAUUGCUAUUGUACCGGAGUCCUUUCAAAGCUCGAGUAUUUAGGGGUACUUUUUGUUAGUACUUUAUGUUGUUUUUUAUUUAUAGCAUGAUUUUAAUGUUUGAGUAACGAGUAGUGACUGCUUUGCAUUUUUUUUGUUUUGCGAGGACUAAUACUGUUGACUAUCGGGUUUAAUUUCAAGCUCAAGUUAUUAGGGUAUUAGUAGUUAUGGCCGUAUGUUGUACUUUGUCUUUUUCAAAUUAUGCUAAUUUGAAUUUUUGAGUAAUGAGUUGUGACUAUUUUGCAUUUAUUUUGUUUUAGUGAGGCUAUUGUAUGACUAGAGGCUCAAGUUGGGUGUACGUGGUAAUAGCGGAGCCCUAGGCCCAAGUACUCUCAAUCCAUAUCUCCACGCCUUGAAUGUGUGGUACGUAAUGUGGCUGUAAAUUUGUAUAUUAUCUUGGCCUAAUUUAACCUGAAUUGAAUUGUUUCCCCGGGUUAUAUUUCCAGCCUCAUGUUAAUUAGGUAUUAUUAGACAAGGCCUUAUUGUUAAAAUUUGUCUUUUUAAAAAUUAUGUGAUUUGAGUUUUUGUGUAAGAUGUAGUGACUCGUUGCAUUUGUUCGUUUUGCGAGGACUAUGAUUGACUACCGGAUUCAACUUCAGCUCGAAGUAUUUGGGUACCUUUUUGUUAGUUACUUUAUGUUGUUUUUUAUUAGAGCACAUGAUUUAAUUUGUUUGAGUAAAGAGUAGUGAAUGCUUUGCAUUUUUUUGUUUUGCGAGAGUACUAAUGUUGGACUAUCGGGUUUAAUUUCAAGAUCAAGUUCUAGUGUAUUAGUGUUAUGGCCGUAUGUUGUACUUUGUCGUUUUCAAAUUAUGACUAAUUUGAAUUUUGGGGUAAUGAGUUGUGACUAUUUUGAAUUAUUUUGUUUUGUGAAGGGACGAUUGACUAUUGACUAUCGGACCUCAACGUGGUGUACCGUGCUAAUAGCGAUGCCUAGCCCAAGUACGCUCAAAUCCAUAUCUCCACGCCUUUGGAUGUUGUGGAUACGUAUUUGUGGCUUUAAAUUUUGUAUAUUAUCUUGCGGCCUUAUUAACUUGGAACUGAAGUGCCCCGGGUUAAAUUUCAAGCUCAAGUUAACUUAGGUAUUAUAGACAAGGCUUAUGGUUUGUACUUGUCUUUUUAAAAUAUUGCUGUGAUUUGAGUUUUUGUGUAAUAUGUAGUGACUGUUUGCCAUUUGUUCUGUAUUGCGAGCGACUAUUGCUAUUGACUACCGAUUCACUUCAAGCUCGAGUUAUUUAGGUACUUGUUGUUAGUACGUAUGUUGUUUUUUAUUUAUAGCAUGAUUUCAAUGUUUGAGUAACGAGUAGUACGACUGCUUGCAUUUUUUGUUUUGCGAGAGUAAUACAUGUUUGACUAUGGGUUUAAUUUCAAGCUCAAGUUAUUAGGGUAUAGUAGUUAUGCGCCGAAUAUAUGUUGUACUUUGUUCGUUUCAAAUUAUGCUAAUUUGAAUUUAUUUUGUUUUGUGGAGCUAUGCUAUGAUUACGGAUUCAACUUCAAGCUCGAGUUAUUAGGUACUUUUUGUUUUUGUCUUUAUGUGUUUUUAUUUAUAGCAUGAUUUUCAUGUUGCGUACGGUAGUGACGCUUUGCCUUUUUUUUGUUUUGGAGAGGACUAUACUGUUGAAUAUCGGGUUAGUUUCAAGCUCAAGUUAUUAGUGGUAUGGUCAUUAGUAGGUUAUGGCCGUAUGUUGUACUUUGGUCUUUUUCAAAUUAUGCUAAUUGAUUUUUGAGUAGUAAUGAGUGUGGAGCUAUUUGCAUUUAUUUGUUAGUGAGGACUACUUGCUAUUGACAGCGACUCAAGUGGUGUGACCUUUGGUCCGUGGUAAUAGCGAUGCAGAGGCCCAAGUUACUACCAAAUCCAUAUCUCCACGCCUUUGGAAGUGUGUGGUAGUAACUGUGGCUUUAAAUUUUGUAUAUUUAUUGGGCCUUAAUAACCUGAACUUGAAGUUCCCCGGGUUCAUUUUCAAGCUCAUGUUAAUUAGGUAGAUAUAGACAAGGCCUUUGUAAACUUUGUCUUUUUAAAAUUUAUGCGAUUUGAGUUUUUGUGUAUAUGUAGUGACUGUUUUGCAUUUGGUUCUGUUUUUGCGAGCGGAAUAUUGCUAUCGUAUGAACUACGGAUUCAACUUCAAGCUCGAGUUAUUUGGGUACGUUUUGUUAGACUAUGUGUUUUUAUUAUAGCAGAUUUUAAUGUUGCAGUAACGAGUAGUGGACUGCUUGCAUUAUUUUGUUGCGAGGAGUACUAUGUGGACUACGGGGUAUUUCAAGCUCAAGGUUAUUAGUUGUAUAGUCGUUAUGGCCGUAUGUGUACUUGUCGUUUUUUUCCACCUUAUGCUAAUUGGGAGUUUUGGGUAAUGAGUUUGUCGCCUAUUUGCAUUUAUUUUGUUUUGUGAGGAAUAUUUGCUAUUGGACUAUCGGACUCAAGUGGGGUGGAAGUGCUAUAGCGAUGCCUAGGCCCACGUACGCCUCAAAUCCAUAUCUCCACGCCUUGAAUGUUGUUUACGUUAUUUGUGGCUUAAAUUUAGUUAUUUAUCGUUGGGCUAUUAACUGAACUUGAAGUGCCCCGGUUCAAUUUCGAAGCUCACGUUAAUUAGUAUUAUUCGACAAGGCAUUAUGUGUACUUUGUCUUUGUCAAAAUAUGAUGAUUUGAGUUUUGUGUCAUAUGUAGUGAGGUUCUGCCAUUUGUUCUGUAUUGCGAGGACUCUAUUGCUCUUGACUACCGGAUUCAACUUCAAGCUCGAGUUAUUUAGGUACGCAUUUUGAUUAGUACCUAAUAUAUGUUGUUUUUUUUUAUUUAUAGCAUAAUUUAAUGUUUGAGAACGAGUAUGUGACUGCUUUGCAAUUUUUUUUGUUUUCGAAGACCUACAUACUUUUGAUUGACUAUCGGGUUUUAUUUCAAGCUCAAGUUAGUAGGUAUUAUAGUUAUGCCGUAUGUUUGUAGCUUUUGUCUUUUUCAAAUUAAUGCUACUUUGGAAUUUUUGAGUAAUGAGUUUGUGACUUUUUGUCAUUUAUUUGUAAAGUGAGGACGAUUGCUAUUGACUAUCGACUCAGUGGGUGUACCUGUGCUAAUAGCGAGCCUAGGCCCAGUACUUUCCUCAAAAUCCAUAUCUCCACCCUUUGAAAUGUGUGGUAGUAACUGGUGUCUUUAAAUUUUGUAUAUUUAUCUUGGGCCUUAAUUAACCUGAACUUGAAGUUCCCGGUUCAAUUUCAAGCUCAAGUUAUUAGGAAUUAUUAGACAAGGCCUUAUAUUGUACUUUGUCUUUUAAAACAUUAUGCUGAUUUGAGUUGUUGUGUAAAUAUGUAGUGACUGUUUUUGCAUUUGUUUGUGCUGUUUUUUUGCGAGUGAUUUGCUAUUGACUAACCGGAUUCAACUUCAAGCUAGAGUUAUUUAUGUAAACUUUUUUGUUAGUACUUGUUAUGUUGUUUUUUAUUUAUUAAUACAUGAAUUUAAUGUUUGAGUCACGAGGUAGUUACUGCUUUGCAUUUUUUUUUUUUUCGAGGACUAAUACUACUUGUGACUAAUCGGGAUUACUUUCAGGCUCAAGUUAUUAGGGUAUUAGUAGUUUCAUGGCCGGUAAAACUGUUGUAACUUUGUACUUUUUCAAAUUAUGCUUAAUUGAAUUUUUGAUAAUGACUGUGACUAUUUUCAUUUAUUUUAGUUAGUAGAGGACUAUUGCUAUUGACUAUACGGACUCAUGGGUGUCACACCGUCUGUAAUAGCGAUCCUAGGCCUCAAUAGACGCAAAUCAUAUCUCCAUCACGCCUUUGAAUGUUUUGUGGUACGUAACUGUGGCUUUAAAUUUUUGUAUUUUUAUCUGGGCCAUAAUUAACCUAACUUGGAAAAGUUCCCCGGGUUUCAAUUUCAAAGCUCAGUUCCUUAGACUUAUUAGACAACAGGCCCUUAUUAUGUGGUACUUUGUCCUUUUAAAUUAUGGCUGAUUUGAGUUUUUGUGUAAGAUUUUGUGACUUGUUUUGCAUUUUGUUUCUGUUUUGCAAGGACUAUUGCUAAUUGAUUACCGGAUUUCAACUUCAAGCUCUGAGUUAUUAGAGGUCCUUUUGUAUAGUACUUUAAUGUUGUUUUUUAGUUUGCAUGAUUUUUAAUGUUGAGUCAACGAGAUAGUGACUGCUUUUUGCAUUUUACUUUUUGUAUUUGCGAGGACAAUACUGUUGACAUCGGGUUUAGUUUCAAAGCAUCAAGUUAUUAGUGUAUUAGUAUUUUAUGGGCCGUCCUGUUUACUUUGCUCUUUUUCAAUAUGCCUCAUUUUGAAUUUUUUUUUGUAUGACUUUUGUGACUAUUUUGCAUUUAUUUUGUUUUUAGUGGGACUAAUCUUUUGACUAUCGAGUUUAAUUUCAAGCUCAAGUUAUUAGGGUAUUAGUAGUUAUGGCCGUAUGUUGUACUUUGUCUUUUUCAAAUUAAUGCUAAUUUAAUUUUUGAGUAUGAGUUUGUGACUAUUUUGCAUUUAAUUUGUUUUAAGUGAGGACUAUUUGCUUUAUUGACUAUGGACUCAAGUGGGUGUACGUGCUUAAAAAAUAGCGAUGCCUAGGCCCAAGUACUCCCUCAAUCCAAUCUUCUCCUGCCCGCGCCUUUGAAUGUUGUCGCCUACGUCCUUAUGACCCUGUGAGCCUCUGUAAUUUUGUAAAAAAAAAUACUCUUUUUAUCUUCCGGAUACGGGGGCCCUCAUAUUACCACAUGAACUGAAGUUUUCCCUCCCCUCCCCGGGUUUCAAUUUCACAAGCUCAAGUGUAAUGAGGUAUUAUUAGACAAGGCCUGUAUGUUGUACUUUGUCUUUUUUAUUAAAAUUAAAUGCUGAUUUUUGGUUUUUUUGUGUAAUAUAUUAGUGACUGUGUUUCAUUUGUUCUGUUUUGCGAGGACAUUGCUAUUGACUACCGAAUUAAAAACUUCAAGCUCGGUUAUUUAGGUACUUUUUGUUGUACUUUAUGUUUUUUUUUUAUGUUAUAUACAAUGAUUUAAUGUUUGCGUUACGCGUAGUGACUGCUUUGCAUUUUUUUUGUUUUGGGCGAGGACUAAUACUGUUGACUAUCGGCUCCAAUUGGGUGUACCGUGGUAAUACGAUGCCUAGGCCCCAAGUAAGCUCAAAUCCAUAUCUUCCACGCGCUUUUUUUUGAAUUUUUGUUGUACGUAACUUUCUGCUUUCACAUUUUUGUAUAUUUAUCUUGGGCCAUAAUUAACCUGAACUUGAAGUUCCCCGGGUUCAAUUUCAAGCUCAAGUUAAUUAGGAAUUAUUAGACAAGGCCUUAUGUGGUACUUUGUCCUUUUAAAAUUAUGCUGAUUUGAGUUUUUGUGUAAGAUGUUGUGACUGUUUUGCAUUUGUUCUGUUUUGCAAGGACUAUUGCUAUUGAUUACCGGAUUCAACUUCAAGCUCGAGUUAUUUAGGUACCUUUUGUUAGUACUUUAUGUUGUUUUUUAUUUAUAGCAUGAUUUUAAUGUUUGAGUAACGAGUAGUGACUGCUUUGCAUUUUUUUUGUUUUGCGAGGACUAAUACUGUUGACUAU